ensembl:snRNA U1 U1 spliceosomal RNA
AUACUUACCUGGCAAGGGAGAUACCAUGAUCAAGAAGGUGGUUCACCCAUAGCGAGGCUCAGCCAUUGCACUGAGGCUGUUGCUGACCCGUGCGAAUUCCCCAAAUGUGGGAAUCUCGAUUGCAUAAUUUCUGGUAGUGGGGACUCGCGCAUAAUUUCUGGUAGUGGGGACGCUCUCCCCU